AGGCACACUUGCUUGAUGGCUGGGCUAGUGCUGGUGCAACUGUUGAUUCGGCUAGACAAGACCUUGCUGUCACCUUUGGUGGCCUGAGUUCACUAUUCCAACUAUCAAAAUUAUCUCUUGCAAAUGUUUACAAAGGGUCCGGAUUGGCGAACAGAUAUCUUUAGUGAGGAUGAAGCUUUCUUGGCCACUGUCAACAAGAGAGGCUGUUGUGCACUAUUUUUUGUUUGAGUACUUUCAAGAUGAUCUCAUUGUUGUUCUUCUAAACACGAUCUCUGAUUCAGAAGACAUUGACAUGGCCACUCAUGGUUUUACCAGUGAAGCAAUCCCUGAAGCAGAGGAUGUUAUUAGGAUUGAUGUGGUAGGAGGCUAUGCUUUGCAAAAGGCACAGCCUUUGUAGUGUUUGAUAGAUUGAUUGAAUUAGUGCCAUGAUGGCUUCUACCAUUUUUAGAAGCAUUCAAAACCACCCUUUGUUGCUGUACCCAACUGCAUUGUUUAGAAGAAAGAAUGGCGUUUUUUAUUGCACUAUGAAAAGCAUAGAAGCCCAAACUGCCACUCAAGAAAAGCAAAAGCCCCAUAUUGUGUGCUUCAUAUGGGGAGACAGGAAAAAUGUCUGCUAGUGAUCCAAAUUCUGCCAUAUAUGUCACUGAUUCUGAGAAGGACAUAAAAAAUAAGGUUGAUAUACCAAUUAAAUACCUAAGUUAUUUCCUGGAGGAUGAUGCUGAGCUUGAACACACAAAAAAGGAGUAUGGUGCUGGACAAAUGCUUACAGGUGUGGUAAAGCAGCGACUUGUAGCUCAACUAGCUCAUUUUGGUGUUUCCAAUGGAGACGUCUUUGAUUCAAAUCUCUCAUCCCCCAACAAUCAAAGUAUAAAAAAUAAAAAAUUAAAAGGAAAGAAAAAGAAGAAAUUCCUGCUAAUCAGUCUCAGCUAGAUUGACUUUAAAUGGCUUUUGAAAUGCGUCCUGAGUAUUGGAUAAGCAAAUUAACAAAACUCAUCUAUACAAAAUUGAAUUCACUUGACACCCAAAUUCAAGGAAAACCUGUUUUGGAAGUCUACUUUCUGCAUUUUGCUUGUAAUCUGAGUAUUCAUCCCCUUGUAAUUUAAGGAAAUUAUAUAACGAUGAUGUGUGCAGAUAAGUUGUUUGAAUCUCUUCUAAGCUGAGGACAAACAGUAUUUCUCUGUGAGUUUGCUUUGUUUUUCAAUUUGUUGAUUGGUUGUUAUGGUCAGGUCAAUGUAAUGGACACAUUCAGCAGACUUAGCCAUCACAGAUUCAGAAGUAGCAAUGGUUGCAGUAAUGUCUACUAAGGUAUUUGGAUGCUACAGGCUUCAAGUUAUGGCUACUAAGGUUGAUUGACAAUAGAGCAUUUCAAGUGGCUUUGGUUUUGUGAGAUGUGAGCGCAAAGUGAGGAAAGGAGUGGAACCAGUGUAGUUGUAUAGUAGUUGACUCCUUUUUUUAUUUAUAAAAUUUUGUAAAUUUAAUUAUGUUGCAGCAAAAGACAUAAAAGUGUAGUGAGGUGAGCUUGCUGGAGUGUAACAUU